GACGAACGCUGGCGGCGUGCCUAAUACAUGCAAGUCGAGCGCAGGAAACUGACGGAACUCUUCGGAGGGAAGGCAGCGGAAUGAGCGGCGGACGGGUGAGUAACACGUAAGGAACCUGCCUCAAGGAUUGGGAUAACUCCGAGAAAUCGGAGCUAAUACCGGAUAGUUCAACGGACCGCAUGGUCCGCUGAUGAAAGGCGCUUCGGCGUCACCUUGAGAUGGCCUUGCGGUGCAUUAGCUAGUUGGUGGGGUAACGGCCCACCAAGGCGACGAUGCAUGGCCGACCGGAGAGGGUGAUCGGCCACACUGGGACUGGGACACGGCCCAGACUCCUACGGGAGGCAGCAGUAGGGAAUCUUCCACAAUGGACGAAAGUCUGAUGGAGCAACGCCGCGUGAGUGAUGAAGGUUUUCGGAUCGUAAAACUCUGUUGUAAGGGAAGAACACGUACGAGAGGGAAUGCUCGUACCUUGACGGUACCUUACGAGAAAGCCACGGCUAACUACGUGCCAGCAGCCGCCGUAACAC
rnacentral:rRNA from 1 species